rnacentral:rRNA from 1 species
UACGGAGGGGGCUAGCGUUGUUCGGAAUUACUGGGCGUAAAGCGCGCGUAGGCGGAUCUGCAAGUCGGGGGUGAAAUCCCGAGGCUCAACCUCGGAACUGCCUUCGAUACUGCGGGUCUCGAGUCCGGAAGAGGUGAGUGGAAUUCCUAGUGUAGAGGUGAAAUUCGUAGAUAUUAGGAAGAACACCAGUGGCGAAGGCGGCUCACUGGUCCGGUACUGACGCUGAGGUGCGAAAGCGUGGGGAGCAAACAGG